rnacentral:rRNA from 1 species
AUUGCCCUAGUAACGGCGAGUGAAGCGGCAACAGCUCAAAUUUGAAAUCUGGCUCCUUCGGGGCCCGAGUUGUAAUUUGCAGAGGAUGCUUCGGGUACGGGUUCCUUCCGAGUUCCCUGGAACGGGACGCCAUAGAGGGUGAGAGCCCCGUCUGGUAGGACACCCAGCCCGUGUGAAGCUCCCUCGACGAGUCGAGUAGUUUGGGAAUGCUGCUCUAACGGGAGGUAUACUCCUUCCAAGGCUAAAUACCGGCUGGAGACCGAUAGCGCACAAGUAGAGUGAUCGAAAGAUGAAAAGCACUUUGAAAAGAGAGUCAAAUAGCACGUGAAAUUGUUGAAAGGGAAGCGCUCGCUACCAGACAUGGGUUCGGCGGUUCAACCGGGGCCACGCCCCGGGGCACUCCGCCGGCCCAGGCCAGCAUCAGCUUUCCGUCGGGGGCAAAGGCGUCGGGAAUGUGGCUCCCCUUCGGGGGAGUGUUAUAGCCCGGCGUGUCAUACCCUUCGGGGGGCUGAGGUACGCGCUUCUGCAAGGAUGCUGGCGUAAUGGUAGCUAGUGACCCGUCUUGAAACACGGACCAAGGAGUCAACCUUAUGUGCGAGUGCCCGGGCGUAAAACCCCAGCGCGGAAUGAAAGUGAACGUAGGUGAGAGCUUCGGCGCAUCACCGACCGAUCCUGAUGUCCUCGGACGGAUUUGAGUGAGAGCAUAUAGGGUUGGACCCGAAAGAAGAUGAACUAUGCGUGUGUAGGGUGAAGCCAGAGGAAACUCUGGUGGAGGCUCGCAGCGGUUCUGACGUGCAAAUCGAUCGUCAAACAUGCGCAUGGGGGCGAAAGACUAAUCGAAUCUUCUGGUAGCUGGUUUCCCCCAAAAUUUCCCUCAGGAUAGCAGUGUUGAUCCCAGUUUUAUGAGGUAAAGCGAA